rnacentral:rRNA from 1 species
GACGAACGCUGGCGGCGUGGAUUAGGCAUGCAAGUCGAACGGUAUCAUCCUUUCGGGGGUGAGAGAGUGGCGAACUGGUGAGUAACACGUAGGUUAUCUACCCUCAAGACGGGGACAACCCAGGGAAACUUGGGCUAAUACCGGAUGUGAGCAACUUUUUAGUUGUUUGAAAGGUGGCGUAAGCUGUCGCUUGGGGAUGAGCCUGCGUCCUAUUAGUUAGUUGGUGAGGUAAUGGCUUACCAAGGCGAUGAUAGGUAGGCGGCCUUAACGGGUGGUCGCCCACACUGGGAUUGAGAUACGGCCCAGACUCCUACGGGAGGCAGCAGUCGAGAAUAGUCUACAAUGGACGAAAGUCUGAUAGUGCGACGCCGCGUGAACGAAGAAUCCUUUCGGGGUGUAAAGUUCUUUUCUAUGUGAGCAGUUCCUUUUAUAUGAAGAGUAUAGAAGGGGGGAUUUUAAGCAUAGGAAUAAGCAACGGCUAACUCCGUG